rnacentral:rRNA from 1 species
AGAAUUGAUCUGGUCAGGAUGAACGCUAGCGGCAGGCUUAACACAUGCAAGUCGAGGGGCAGCGGGAUGUAGCAAUACAUUGCCGGCGACCGGCGGAUGGGUGCGUAACGCGUAUGCAACCUACCUAUACAGGGGAAUAACCUCUCGAAAGGGAGACUAACACCCCAUGGUAUUGAUUUAAGGCAUCUUAGAUUAAUUAAAUAUUUAUAGGUAUAAGAUGGGCAUGCGUAUGAUUAGCUAGUUGGUAAGGUAACGGCUUACCAAGGCGACGAUCAUUAGGGGUUCUGAGAGGAAGGUCCCCCACACUGGUACUGAGACACGGACCAGACUCCUACGGGAGGCAGCAGUGAGGAAUAUUGGUCAAUGGGCGCAAGCCUGAACCAGCCAUGCCGCGUGCAGGAAAGACGGCCUUAUGGGUUGUAAACUGCUUUUACAUAAGACUAACCGUAUAUUUGCGAAUAUACCUGAAUGUAUUAUGAGAAUAAGGAUCGGCUAACUCCGUGCCAGCAGCCGC